AACGAACGCUGGCGGCAUGCCUAACACAUGCAAGUCGAACGAGACCUUCGGGUCUAGUGGCGCACGGGUGCGUAACGCGUGGGAAUCUGCCCUUGGGUUCGGAAUAACAGCGAGAAAUUGCUGCUAAUACCGGAUGAUGACGUAAGUCCAAAGAUUUAUCGCCCAAGGAUGAGCCCGCGUAGGAUUAGCUAGUUGGUGAGGUAAAGGCUCACCAAGGCGACGAUCCUUAGCUGGUCUGAGAGGAUGAUCAGCCACACUGGGACUGAGACACGGCCCAGACUCCUACGGGAGGCAGCAGUGGGGAAUAUUGGACAAUGGGCGAAAGCCUGAUCCAGCAAUGCCGCGUGAGUGAUGAAGGCCUUAGGGUUGUAAAGCUCUUUUACCCGGGAUGAUAAUGACAGUACCGGGAGAAUAAGCCCCGGCUAACUCCGUGCCAGCAGCCGCGG
rnacentral:rRNA from 1 species